rnacentral:rRNA from 1 species
AGAGUUUGAUCCUGGCUCAGAUUGAACGCUGGCGGCAGGCCUAACACAUGCAAGUCGAGCGGUAACAGGGGAAGCUUGCUUCUCGCUGACGAGCGGCGGACGGGUGAGUAAUGCCUGGGAAAUUGCCCAGUCGAGGGGGAUAACAGUUGGAAACGACUGCUAAUACCGCAUAAUCUCUCAGGAGCAAAGCAGGGGAACUUCGGUCCUUGCGCUAUCGGAUGAACCCAUAUGGGAUUAGCUAGUUGGUGAGGUAAUGGCUCACCAAGGCGACGAUCCCUAGCUGGUCUGAGAGGAUGAUCAGCCACACUGGGACUGAGACACGGCCCAGACUCCUACGGGAGGCAGCAGUGGGGAAUAUUGCACAAUGGGCGCAAGCCUGAUGCAGCCAUGCCGCGUGUAUGAAGAAGGCCUUAGGGUUGUAAAGUACUUUCAGUUGGGAGGAAGGCGUUGUGGUUAAUAACCGCAACGAUUGACGUUACUCGCAGAAGAAGCACCGGCUAACUCCGUGCCAGCAGCCGCGGUAAUUC